UACAGAGGGGCAAGCGUUAUUCGGAAUUAUUGGGCGUAAAGGGCGCGUAGGCGGCUUGGCAAGUGGAUGGUGAAAUCCCUCGGCUUAACCGAGGAACUGCCGUCCAAACUGCUUCGCUUGAGACCGGGAGAGGUGAGUGGAAUUCCCAGUGUAGCGGUGAAAUGCGUAGAUAGUUGGGAGGAACACCAGUGGCGAAGGCGGCUCACUGGACCGGUUCUGACGCUGAUGCGCGAAAAGCGUGGGGAGCAAACGGG
rnacentral:rRNA from 1 species